rnacentral:rRNA from 1 species
UACGUAGGGACCGAGCGUUGUCCGGAUUCAUUGGGCGUAAAGAGCUCGUAGGCGGCUGUUCAAGUCGAACGUGAAAACUCGGAGCUCAACUCCGAGCCUGCGUUCGAUACUGGACGGCUAGAGUCUGGUAGGGGGAUCUGGAAUUCCUGGUGUAGCGGUGAAAUGCGCAGAUAUCGGGAGGAACACCGGUGGCGAAGGCGGUUCUCUGGGCCUGUACUGACGCUGAGGAGCGAAAGCGUGGGGAGCGAACAGG